GUCUAUGGCCAUGCCACCCUUAACGUGCCCAAUCUCAUCUAAUCUCGGAAGCUAAGCAGGGUCGGGUCUGGUUAGGACUUGGAUGGGAGACCACCUAGGAAGACCAGGUGCUAUGGGCA
rnacentral:rRNA from 1 species